rnacentral:ncRNA from 2 species
GCCGCGGGCCGUGACUGGCGCGCUGGGAUGGGACCGACCAUCGGGGAGCGGCCCGCGCAAAACCGUGUGCCGUGCGCCUGGGCCGACCCG